rnacentral:lncRNA from 1 species
AACCGCACUUCCUUUUCGACUCGUUUCUUUAACGUAGCAUGAAGAAUCCUCACAUUCGACAUGACUGAUAAAAGCUGAUGAUACUGUUUUUGCUCCUUAAAAUCUAUCCGUAGAAAAAUAAUGCGCUUUGAGUAAGAAAACUAUACAGAAGCUGCAUCUAAAAAACCCGAAUAUCUUAAUUGACUAUUGUAAAAGUGUUAGUUUACAGAUUUUUGGUAACGAGAUAAGCAACGGAGCAUGCAUAUGAUUACCUAAGUAUAACUUGUACACAAUGAUUAGGUGGUUUGUAAAAAUGAAUCCUUAAAGAAUGCUACAAAGAAGUAACUCAAAAUUCCAACCAUACUAUGCUAAUAGAAACGUGAGGCAGAAAUAGAAAUAAUGGGAUUAUUGGGAUAGUUGAAAAAAUGCUGGAGUUAAACUGAGUCUCCACAAGUAUUUACAUAAACAUUCCUUUCGAAGUAUUUCAUUCAUCUUGCGUGUCUGCACACACUACUAUCAUACAGUUUCUUCUCCCAAACACAAUCAAAUUAAAGAACGGUUCCAUAAGCAGUAGAAUCAAAGUUUCGAAAAGAUACGGCCAAUAACAAAGUCAGCUUUGAUUUUUAUCACCGAUUGCUGUAAUUUGUAACUGGCACAACACAAUUUUCGAAAUUGGAUUGUUUAUGAAUAAGCUAUCGUGCUUUUCGUAUAACUUAGUGUAUCUUAGCUUCCUUUGGGCUAUAAUCAUUGUCUCUGGCUUUUCAUCUUGUAGUCUUUCUCAAUCGCCGGUUCCAUUUUCUUCAAUCUUCUAUUCAAUUGGAUCCUAUUCUCAUCCGGAAUGCUUUUCUUCCACGGAAAACAAAUUACCGAAUUUGUAAACUGUGACGAUUUUUUUUUUAUUUAUUCAAAACUUUGCAAAUUAAACUACCACCAAGUCUCUUAAUAAGUAAGGAAGUCGCUAUUAUUGGAUUAGUAGACCCACAUCACCAAAAUUUCUUGCCAUGACGACAUCACGUGUACUAGAGCAAUUCGGGUCAUACUUCGUGUUCAAUUCUGAUUUGAUUUCUUUUUUUUCGAGUAUGAUUGUCAACAAAAAACGAUAAAGACUUUUACAUCUCCAGUCGGCUGAACUCCAGUAAUUAAAGUUCGAUAUUGUUUAAAAAUUAAAAAAACAAACAAACAAACAAAAAGAUGAAAUGAUGAAAUGAUUGAUGACGAUUUUAAAAAAGAUCAAAACUUGAAACUCAUAUCACAAGAAAUGGAGACAACAUUCAACUAUAAAGUUUUUCAGCGAGACAUGUACCGAUUGAUUCGGUCUUUGCAGGACUCUUGAUGUUUGCCUAAUCGGGUUAAAUUGUGGUGGUGUGGUAAUACGUACUAGCUCUCGUUUCUUUAUAUCCAACUGACGGCAUCGCUUGUACUUUUUUAAUAACUUCUUUUUCCUCUUCGUAUGGUGUGUAAACUGAAUGGAAACGAUGAACCCAUCAUGAACCUCACAUCAUUUGGUUCCGUCUAUUUAGUGCUCACCCAGUGUUGCUUUAUGAAAUGAAACAAUGGUUGAUGUUUUCAUCAAUCACCCAUGAAUUAGUUUGGGGUAAAUAUGAUUCUAUUAUUAUCUCUUUCUCAAAGUGCUAAGCGAUGAUGUACAUGUAUCUAUGUUUUCCAAAAUCUUUAUCUCAAUUUUUGAAACAGGACUUUUAAUAGUCUUUCAUAUCAGCAAUUGUUUCAGAAAAUGUUAACAACCAUCAAUAUUUACACAAAUGAUAUAAACACUGAUUUUACCAAGAUUACCAGCGAUAAAAUGAGUAAAUUAAGCUCUUUAGAAGUCUGAUGGUAAUUGAUAAAUAUCGUGUGGAAAGUAUACCGAAGUUUGGAAGAACAAGAACUUUGAAGGAUGAAUUUUCCGAAAUGUCUUUGGUAUUUGUAAUUUUACUACAUAUAUUUUAUUAACAGCAUUUUGAAAUUUUUCAAAAACUUAUUUCCUUGUCUUUGUAGCUCAGUCACCAUUACUUCACUAAGCUAUUUGAGAAUUAUAUGUUUAUUAUAAAUACUCAUGAAUCUUUCCCAAGCAAACUUACCUUGAUCUAAUAAUUCUAACCAUUCGCAUCCAUUUUUAUUUAUUUAACUUUUCAUUUCAUAUCUAUCUUGUUUGGUUUGUGAUAAACUCUUUUUUGGAAAUACAUUGGGUUUAAACUCUGAUUUGUAAAUUUAUUUUUAUUUUUAUUCUUAUUUAUUUUGUCACAUCUUUAUUUGAGUGUUCAUACGACAUUUGGAAAAACGGUGCAAUUGAGCAAGGCUGAAUUACUUAUUUUUACAUUUAUUGACCACUUUCAUUGAAGCUAAGCUAUAUAAUGAAUGCAACGGUUAUGUGAGAUUGAGUAAGAAGUGUUAUGGAAUAAG